rnacentral:sRNA from 1 species
AUUAUUUGUCUAUUUAGAGUGACAGGAGGAGGUGUCUAUUUAGAGUGACAGUCUUGGCGACUGUCUAAGUCUUAGUGACAUUCUGACAGUCUGGGUAGCAGUCUUUAGAAUGAGGCAGUCUAAGCGUAGAGACACUGAAUAGAUGUUAGCGACAGUGGCGUAGUCAGCAAGACAAAGAGCGACAUGCAGUAAUUGACAUCAGAUGACAUGGACAGCGGUACUGAACUCUGAUGCAGUCUGCGGCGUUGGGUCCAGUGCAUGGAGGAUGGAGUAGCCGUGGUGGUCUGAUUGGCAUCGUAAUUACACGCACCAAACGUGAGAAUCAUUGCUAGAUGAAAGAGCCAAGAUUAUGAAGUGAGUGGGUUCGUGACAGCAGUGGACAUCAGUUUGAAAGAGGCUAAAAACAUUGUGCUGGAUACCAAAUGCUACGGUGACAGCUUGCCGACUAAUGCACAGCGCUGAAGGUACAUAAAUUCCAAUGUGACACGUUACAACGUGACAUGUUCUGAUGUGACAUGUUACAACGUGACAUGUUCUGACGUGACAAGUAACCCAUAUAGCAGGGGUGGACAGACUAUCUAUGUAUAUAAUUCUCUCUGUCGCCAACCAUGCGGGAAACUACGCAAAAGUCAUGGAAAGAUAGCUCUUUUAUUUCUGCAAGUCGGACUAGAGUUACCCCACGUAACUCUAUCAGUUGCAUA